UGGGGAAUAUUGGACAAUGGGCGGAAGCCUGAUCCAGCCAUGCCGCGUGUGUGAAGAAGGUCUUCGGAUUGUAAAGCACUUUAAGUUGGGAGGAAGGGCAUUAACCUAAUACGUUAGUGUUUUGACGUUACCGACAGAAUAAGCACCGGCUAACUCUGUGCCAGCAGCCGCGGUAAUACAGAGGGUGCAAGCGUUAAUCGGAAUUACUGGGCGUAAAGCGCGCGUAGGUGGUUUGUUAAGUUGGAUGUGAAAUCCCCGGGCUCAACCUGGGAACUGCAUUCAAAACUGACUGACUAGAGUAUGGUAGAGGGUGGUGGAAUUUCCUGUGUAGCGGUGAAAUGCGUAGAUAUAGGAAGGAACACCAGUGGCGAAGGCGACCACCUGGACUAAUACUGACACUGAGGUGCGAAAGCGUGGGGAGCAAACA
rnacentral:rRNA from 1 species